AGUUAGUGCCAAAACAUGAGUUUCCUGGUGCUAGUUAUUUUCCAUUCAAAUUUGAUUGUUGCAUGCCGUGGAUUUCCUGCAAAUAAAAUAAUAUCUUUUUUUCCCACCUUUAUAAUUUGUGGACAAAAUUGUUUUGCAUUAUAUUUGAUCACAUCUUAAUUAUAACUUAUUGUUGUAUUGAAUUUGGAUGCAUAUUUGUUGUCAAAUGACAUGGUUUAUUUUGAAAGCAUGGUAAUUUAAUUUAUCUUGUUGGGUUGUUAAUGCAAUUAAAAUUUGGUGUUUUGUGUUUCUUAGUCACACUGUAAGUAGUGUUGUUACUAAAGAUCUUAAUCAUGGGAGAAAAAUAUGUGCAACUGUGAUAAUUGCAAUCACCAUUUUGACUUAAUGCAUCAGUUUAAUUCCAAAAGUGGGGUGAAAGGCAGUUUGACACUUUGACUCCCUUUCCCCAGUAACCAGGAAGGGAACAUAUGAAAAAAGCAUUUUUGAUAAUCAGGUGAAACCACGAUAAAAAAUGGGGCUUAAAUUACUUGUGCUUGGACCAAGUGAACUCUGUGUACAUGUCCGUUCAUAAUUCUUUUUCUGAACUUGACUUCAGAAGUGUAAUUUUUGUACCAAUGAUGCAAUUCGUGGCUUGUUCACCACUUGUUUAUUUGUAUUUGCUUCUUGAUGCUAGAAUCAAUAUUGCUGGUGAAACAUGCAUGUUAGGAUUAGUUCGGCAUGUGUAGCACCUAGCUGCCUACAUUAUUAUUUGAAUGAUCAGAUAUUAAUUGCAUUGAAGACCUUGUCUGUUAGCCUAGGUGGUUGAUUUAUUGGCUUGAUGGAUUGAAAACCUUGCUAUUUUAGUGUAUCUGGAUGGUCUUAAGGCAAAAGGCCAGCAUUUUAUGGUUCCCUUUUCAUUUCCACAAUUAAUUCUCCCUUCUUCUUCCUUGCAUUUGUGAUUCUUUAGUUGAAACUUUAUGGAAUCCUAUAUUGAAUUGGGCUUUUGAUAAAUUUAAUGUUGAAGUGCCAUGCAAUGUUGGCCAUUUUCUUGAUGGGUUCUCUCUCUCUCUCUCUCUCU
rnacentral:misc_RNA from 1 species